rnacentral:rRNA from 1 species
UUCGAAGGGAGCUAGCGUUGUUCGGAAUUACUGGGCGUAAAGGGCGCGUAGGCGGUUUAGUAAGUCAGAUGUGAAAGCCCCGGGCUUAACCUGGGAACAGCAUUUGAUACUGCUAGACUAGAGAUCGAAAGAGGAGAGUGGAAUUGCGAGUGUAGAGGUGAAAUUCGUAGAUAUUCGCAGGAACACCAGUGGCGAAGGCGACUCUCUGGUUCGAUACUGACGCUAAGGCGCGAAAGCGUGGGGAGCAAACAGG